rnacentral:tRNA from 1 species
GCGAGCAUAGUUCAGUGGCAGAAUGAUUGCUUCCCAAGCAAUAGAUCGGGGUUCGAUUCCCCGUGUUCGCA